GGGGCCGAACUGGAUUCGACCGAGCAGAAUCGGUCGGCGGUGGCGCGUCGCGGAGCAUGCACGCCCGCGUUAUCAAGCAUGCACCAUAAUGAUUGCCGAGCGUAACUACGCUCUGGCGGCCUGAACACCAGGCAGCCCGGUCCGCUCUCCACGCCCGAUAAAGAGCGGCCCGAAGACAUCGGGCUGGUCCGCGCCGGGGGGCUCCCGGCGGCGCGGGCGAGAUCACGCCGGGGCCUGGGCCCAAAGGGAGGCUGCCGAUGGCCGCCCCAGGGCCGAGAUCAAAUCACACGGCUACACGCGUAGAGGCCGCCGAGCGACUGUCCCGGGACGGGGGUUCGAUUCCCCCCGGCUCCAUUC
rnacentral:tmRNA from 1 species